UACGGAAGGUCCGGGCGUUAUCCGGAUUUAUUGGGUUUAAAGGGAGCGUAGGCCGUUCCUUAAGCGUGUUGUGAUAUGUAGGCGCCCAACGUCUGCACUGCAGCGCGAACUGGGGGACUUGAGUACGCAGGAAGCAGGCGGAAUUCGUUGUGUAGCGGUGAAAUGCUUAGAUAUGACGAAGAACUCCGAUUGGGAAGCCAGCCUGCUGUAGCGCCACUGACGCUGAUGCUCGAAAGCGUGGGGAGCAAAC
rnacentral:rRNA from 1 species